GGGGGUGACUGGUUUCGACUUGGGGCGGUAGUUCCAGGGGAAGCGGGUCGAGGAUCCAAGGUCAACUCGUGAUGCUCCUUGGAAACCAAUAAGUGCCGAUGCAAAGCGCACUGACUUCGCUCUUGCUGCCUGAGCAGUAACCGAAGGGUCAGACCGGGCGAGCCUCCGUCCCGGACCCUGGCCUCAUCAAGGAGGCUCGCUGCUGAUUGCCUGUUCCCGGCGGUCAGUGGGACUUGAGGGGAACUGGGUCCGUCUGCAACCUGCCGAUAGGAGUGCAGGGACCGAGUAAAACGACGUAAUCGGCUGCACCCGGAGAAGUCCUGGUUCACCCUUCGAGGACGCGGGUUCGAAUCCCGCCACCUCCACCC
rnacentral:tmRNA from 1 species